GUAGUGCUAAUAUAUAUAUAUAGAGAGAGAGAGAGAGAGAGAGAGAGAAUUAUGCUACUAUACUAUCAAUAGUACCAAGCCCUUGGUACUAUUGAGUUUUUGGCCGUUGGAUGAAAGGAUGUGCGGUUAGGAUGAUAGUGGUCCCCGGUUAAAUUGAUAGUGGUUCUCUAGGGUUGAGUGGGUGGUUGGUUUAAUAGUAUAAUCUAACGGGUGGAAAUGAUCAAAAGAUAGAUCUAACGGUAGAAAACUCAAUAGUACCAAGGACUUGGUACUAUCAAUAGUAUAGUAGCUGGACUCUCUCUCUCUCUCUCUCUCUCUCUCUCUCUCUCUCUCUAU
rnacentral:lncRNA from 1 species